CGGUAGCACAGAGAGCUAUGCUCUCGGGUGACGAGUGGCGGACGGGUGAGUAAUGUCUGGGAAACUGCCUGAUGGAGGGGGAUAACUACUGGAAACGGUAGCUAAUACCGCAUAACGUCGCAAGACCAAAGAGGGGGACCUUCGGGCCUCUUGCCAUCAGAUGUGCCCAGAUGGGAUUAGCUAGUAGGUGGGGUAACGGCUCACCUAGGCGACGAUCCCUAGCUGGUCUGAGAGGAUGACCAGCCACACUGGAACUGAGACACGGUCCAGACUCCUACGGGAGGCAGCAGUGGGGAAUAUUGCACAAUGGGCGCAAGCCUGAUGCAGCCAUGCCGCGUGUAUGAAGAAGGCCUUCGGGUUGUAAAGUACUUUCAGCGGGGAGGAAGGUGUUGUGGUUAAUAACCGCACCUUUUGACGUUCCCCGCAGA
rnacentral:rRNA from 1 species